rnacentral:rRNA from 1 species
CCCUUAGAUGUUCUGGGCCGCACGCGCGCUACACUGAUUCAUGCAACAAGUUUUGUCCUUGGCUGAUAGGCCUGGGUAAUCGUUGAACGUGAAUCGUGAUGGGGAUAGAUGAUUGCAAUUAUUCAUCUUCAACGAGGAAUUCCUAGUAAACGCAAGUCAUCAGCUUGCAUUGAUUACGUCCCUGCCCUUUGUACACACCGCCCGUCGCACCUACCGAUUGAAUGGUCCGGUGAAAUCUUCGGAUCUGAGAGAUGUCUGAUUAAUUUCGGACGCCUUUUGGAAAAGUUGCUUAAACCUUACCAUUUAGAGGAAGGUGAAGUCGUAACA